GUGAGAGAUAACAGAGAGCCCAAACUGAGGUAGAUCGGAACCUGAACAAAUGACACCCAAGUUACAGAAGAGAAUAUCUAUUCAUGAGACCAAAGAUGUGGACCAGGUCAGCACCUGAAGGGGAAAUCUAGCUGCUCUGAACUUUUAGCGUGUACACAACA